UACGAAGGGGGCUAGCGUUGCUCGGAAUCACUGGGCGUAAAGCGCACGUAGGCGGCUUUUUAAGUCAGGGGUGAAAUCCUGGAGCUCAACUCCAGAACUGCCUUCGAUACUGGGAAGCUCGAGUCCGGGAGAGGUGAGUGGAACUGCGAGUGUAGAGGUGAAAUUCGUAGAUAUUCGCAAGAACACCAGUGGCGAAGGCGGCUCACUGGCCCGGUACUGACGCUGAGGUGCGAAAGCGUGGGGAGCAAACAGG
rnacentral:rRNA from 1 species